UUGGUAGGGGUGGCAGUUCACAUGCUGGAGGCUUGAGUGUAGCAGCAUCUCUCUGUUCUGUUCCCGAGGCUUGCUUGUAUCCUGGCUGUUAGCAGGCUGGCAAGGCCAGUGCCUCCUACGACUUACCAUAUUCCCUCAGACUGAAGACUCAGCUAUGUGACCUCUGCCACUGGAGAAGGCUCUCUUGGUCCGGAGCCUUCCAUUGCUGCCUUGUGGGAGGUGUUUUGCAGCCCUGAAGCUCUUUAUGGACAGAGAGCACUGUGGCCUCAUUUCUAUAGCUUGUCCUCAGAGUACCUCUGAGCUCUCCUGAUGCAGCAGCCUGCCUUCAGAUUGAAAGUGUAGCUGCAGGCAGACACCAAGAACUAAUGUGGACCCCAAAGAACAAAAGGCCAUGUGUGCUCUUCUGGGCUGCAAAGCUAAUUAAGGACACCAAAUGUUUACAAAUUGCAAACAACAGAACAACAAAAAAAUAACCCUGCUUUGAUUCACAGAAAUUAAAAAAAGAAAGUCGGCUUCCAGUGCUCUGGGUCCUCUGCCCCAGUGUACCCCGUACAAGAUGUUCCAAUCUGGCUGGAAUCUCGUUUUCCUUCUUUGUAACCCCAGUGUCCAACACAACCAGGUUCAAUGUAAAUAGGAAAAAUCCUGCUUGGAGCAAAAGAGUUGAAACUCCCAUGAGGAAUGGUGUUCAGGCAACACGUUCCUUCUGCGUUCUCUUUUCCACACCGAGUUAGGACCGGAGAGAUGGAAUGUAACCAACCUGACACGCUGUCCAUUUAGGAGUGAGAUCUCCUAUUUUCUUAGAAACAGUGGUGGAAAAAGCCAAGAGACUCCAAAGAGGGCGAUUUCCUACAUGAUUCUGAUUUAUCUGGAGCCAGAAAAUCGAAGGAGAAUGUCGCCUGCGGAGACACGUGAACAACUGGAAUCACUGACAUCAUUCUUUUUGCUGUGACUAGCAUACAUUUUUAUCAAAUUAAACUACAGAGGCAUAGGCGUGCCUGAUGGAAGGGACCAGAGAAGAGUUUUAGAGUCUAAGAUAAUACUCGGUAAGGAGAUAUGAAGAGGUUUUAGGGUCUCAGAUCACAUCUGUAUAUCAGGAAGCAAUGAGUGUACGUGGGUACACUGGCAAGCACACACAUGCCUGCACACAACGCACACAUACACACAUGCAGGCACACACAUGC
rnacentral:lncRNA from 1 species